AUUGAACGCUGGCGGCAGGCCUAACACAUGCAAGUCGAGCGGAUGAAGGGAGCUUGCUCCUGGAUUCAGCGGCGGACGGGUGAGUAAUGCCUAGGAAUCUGCCUGGUAGUGGGGGAUAACGUCCGGAAACGGGUGCUAAUACCGCAUACGUCCUGAGGGAGAAAGUGGGGGAUCUUCGGACCUCACGCUAUCAGAUGAGCCUAGGUCGGAUUAGCUAGUUGGUGGGGUAAAGGCCUACCAAGGCGACGAUCCGUAACUGGUCUGAGAGGAUGAUCAGUCACACUGGAACUGAGACACGGUCCAGACUCCUACGGGAGGCAGCAGUGGGGAAUAUUGGACAAUGGGCGAAAGCCUGAUCCAGCUAUGCCGCGUGUGUGAAGAAGGUCUUCGGAUUGUAAAGCACUUUAAGUUGGGAGGAAGGGCAGUAAGUUAAUACCUUGCUGUUUUGACGUUACCAACAGAAUAAGCACCGGCUAACUUCGUG
rnacentral:rRNA from 1 species